rnacentral:rRNA from 1 species
CUGGGCUGCUAGGUGGCGGUUGUGGGGAGGGGAGAUGGCUGACAGUUGGUGGUGGUUUUAUUAUUUUUUUUUUAAUUAUUUUUGUUAAAGUUAUUUAAUUAAUUAAUUGAUUAAUUAUUAAAGUAAAUAGUUUAAGUAAGAGCCAAUUAGAGGAUGCCACGUGUGACAUUUAACUCUUCAUGACUAACGGGGUUAAGAAAAAGGGCAUUUGGUGACAUUUAUAUUAAACUCAGUGGUACAUGGUGUAUUAGAAAGUUUUGGUUGUAUAUGGUGAAUUAAGCUUUAACUCAGUGGUAUUUGGUGAAAAAUCCGUUUAUUUUUUCAAUCUGUAUAUUAGAAAAUUGGUAUUACUCCGUAAGUGUUAACCUCCACACAUAAAGAAAUAAUUCAUAUGGAUAAAUGCAGGAUUUUGGAUAAAAUCUUGUCAUGUGUAAAAUGUUACUUGUAAUAAAUAUAAGAUUCUUCUUGGUUAACAUUUACAACAUAUUCACAAUAUUCUAUGCCUGAACGGGGCGAAGCCAGAGGAAACUCUAGUGGAGGCCCGAAGCGAUACUGAUGUGCAAAUCGUUCGUCUGACUUGGGUAUAGGGGUGAAAGACUAAUCGAAUCGUCUAGUAGCUGGUUCCCUCCGAAGUUUCCGUCAGGAUAGCUGGAGCUCAUUCGCGAGUUCUAUCAGGUAAGCCAAUGAUUAGAGGCUUUGAGGGCGCAACCCCCUUGACCUAUUCUCAAAUUUAAAAUAGGUAGGACUGCGCGGCUGCUUUGUUGAGUCGUGCCAUGGAAUCGAGAGCUCCAAGUGGGCCAUUUUUUGGUAAGCAGAAAUGGCGAUGCGGGAUGAACCAAAAGCCGGGUUACGGUGCCCAACUACGCGCUAACCUAGAUCCCACAAAGAGUGUUGGUCGAUUAAGACAGAAGGACGGUGGUCAUGGAAGUCGAAAUCCGCUAAGGAGUGUGUAACCACUCACCUGCCGAAUCAACUAGCCCCGAAAAUGGAUGGCGCUAAAGCGCGUGACCAAUACCCAGUCGUCGGGGCAAAUGCUAGGCCUCGAUGAGUAGGAGGGCGCAGCGGUCGCUGCAAAACCUAUGACGUGAUCUAGGGCGGAACGACUGUUGGUGUAGAUCUUGGUGGUAGUAGCAAAUAUUCAAAUGAGAACUUUGAAGGCCGAAGAGGGGAAAGGUUCCAUGUGAACGACACUUGCACAUGGGUUAGUUGAUCUUAAGAGACGGGGGAAGCCUGUUCGAUAGCGCGUUUCGAAUCGGGUUAAAAUUCCUGAACCGGUACGUGGCGGUUGACGACAACGUUAGGAAUUCGGGAGACGUCGGCGGGGGCCUCGGGAAGAGUUAUCUUCUCUGUUUAACAGCUUUCCCACCCUGAAUCGGUUUAGCCGGAGGUAAGGUCCAGCGGCUAGAAGAGCACCGCACGUUUUGUGGUUUCUGGUGUGCCCCCGGCGGCCCUUAAAAAUCCGGAGGACCGAGUGCCAACCACAAUCGAUCGUACUCAUAACCGCAUCAGGUCUUCAAGGUGAACAUCCUUUGGUCGAUGGAACAAUGUAAGCAAGGAAAGUCGGCAAAAUGGAUCCGUAACUUCGGGAAAAGGAUUGGCUCUGAGGGCUGGGCACGGGGGUCCUUGUCCUGAACCCAUCGGCUGUCGGCGGACUGCUCAAGCUGCUAACGUGGCGAGAGCGGGUCGCCGCGUGCCGGCCGAGGGACGGACUGGGAACGGUCGCUUCGGGGGCCUUCCCCAGGCGUCGAACACUCAACUCAGAACAGACAAGGGGAAUCCAACUUUUAAUUAAAACAAAGCAUUGUGAUGGUCCCUAUAGAUGUUAACACAUUGUGAAAUUUGCCCAGUGCUCUAAAUGUCAAAGUGAAGAAAUUCAACCAAGCGCGGGUAAACGGCGGGAGUAACUAUGACUCUCUUAAGGUAGCCAAAUGCCUCAUCAUCUAAUUAGUGACGCACAUGAAUGGAUUAGCGAGAUUCUCAUUGUCCUUGUCUCUAUCCAGCGAAACCACAGCCAAGGGAACGAGCUUGGCAGAAUCGGCGGGGAAAGAAGACCCUGUUGAGCUUGACUUUAGUCCGACUAUGUGAAAUGACUUGAGAGAUGUAGGAUAAGUGGGAGCUUUGGCACAAGUGAAAUACCACUACUUUUAACGUUAUUUUACUUACUCCGUGAGUCGGAAGCGGGGAAAUGCCCUCCUUUUAGACCUAAGGUUCGCUUUGCGGGCCGAUCCGGGCGGAGGACUUUUCCAGGUGGGGAGUUUGGCUGGGGCGGCACAUCUAUUAAAAGAUAACAAAGGUGUCCUAAGAUGAACUCAACGAGAACAGAAAUCUCGUGUGGAACAGAAGGGUAAAAGCUCAUUUGAUUCUGAUUUUGAGUACAAAUAUGAACCGUGAAAGCGUGGCCUAACGAUCUGUUAGACCUUUUGAAUUUAAAGCUAGAGGUGUCAGAAAAGUUACCACAGGGAUAACUGGCUUGUGGCAGCCAAGCGAUCAUAGCGACAUUGAUUUUUAAUCCUUCGAUGUCGGCUCUUCCUAUCAUUGUGAAGCAGAAUUCACCAAGUGUUGGAUUCUUCACCCACCAAUAAGGAAUGUGAGCUGGGUUAGAUCGUCAUGAGACAAGUUAGUUUUACCCAACUGAUGACAGUGUCGCAAUGGUAAUUAAACCUAGUACAAGAGGAACCGUUGAUUCACACAAUUACUCAUUGCGCUUGGUUAAAAAGCCAGUGAUGCGAAGCUACCCUGUGUUGGAUUAUGACUGAACACCUCUAAGUAAGAAUCCGGGCUAGAAGUGACGCAUGUUGGCGCCGCCCAUUUUCCGUCCUACAGUAGGGGCUUCGGCCCCCCAGGGCACGUGUCGUAGACUAAGCGCGGUGGAUGCCUACCGAGCGGUGGGUUGAAUCCUUUGCAGACGACUUAAAUACGUGACGGGGUAUUGUAAGUGGCAGAGUGACCUUGCUUCCACAAUCCACUGAGAUUCAGCCCUGUGU